CAGAGAUCUAAAGUUUCUUUGGAGUUUCCAUCAAGACACAGAUUGCACUGACCAUCACCAUGGCCUCCAGUUUUCAACUGGGCACCCAGAACCUAUUAUGUCUCACUGCUUGCUGCUUGUCAAGUCCACAGUGAAUGCAUACCUAAGAGGACCAAGAAAGUCAACACUUUUUUACCUUCCACCAAGGAGAAUAACAUCCCUGGGCAGUCAUGCCUCAGGGGUACACUGAAGCCGUCUACUAUUUUUCUCAGGGAACAAGGAAGUUGUAAAAAGAUCAUUUGCUUAUUCUCAGCAUUAAUAGGAAAAGAACAUGAUGCUUCAAAAGAUAAAUUACAAAUGUCUCACAACACAGUCCUUUAUUUAGGAAAUGACCUAUCUAAUGAAGGGAAAUAUUUUCCUGAUAGAUUAAAGACUGUACAAAUAUUCUAGACCUCUUUCAAGGUGGCAACUUGGAGGACUUCUAGGCUUAACUGGAAAAUGAAGGCAAUAAGUACCAAACUUCCCUGUGAUUCCAACACUUCUUUAUGAAUUGUCUAAGUCUUCAGUAAGAGACUCUGAUCUGGGAGCACAAAUACAACAGGUCUUCUGUAAUCUAAAUAAGGCCUUAUAAUAGCCUCCUUCCUUAGGUACUCUUAACUAUAAAAGCCAUUCCAUCGAAUUGUGCACCAACAAUUUGAACAAGCCCUUCAGGUUUCAACUCAAUUUCUUGGGUGUCAUCAAAAACCAGUUGCUUACUAUUGACUCGCCCUUGACCCAGUUGUAAAGGCUUUUCCCCCUUGACUUAAGGUAAUCAGUGUCAUGGGAAAACUUAUUGAUGCUUCUGCUGCAAUAGUUCUAGGCUCUUUACUUAACCUCAUGGUCCCUCAUGCAACACAGACAUUAGUAUUGACUGAGAACAGGCAGCACUUUUCAGCCAACUGGUUAACCUCUUAAAAGAUUCUGUUACUCUCUCCUCUCACAUUACUUUUCAUCCCUGAAACAACCGGAAACAUGUCACUCUCCUGCUCCUAAAAGAAUGGCAACAACAUGAUUGUCUUACUUCAGUUAGGAAUCUUUCUGUACCUUGCAGAUGUACAAUGUAUUAGAGAUCCCAUUGAGAAAUCUGACCAAAUAUUAUUUGUGGAGGGACAAUUCCUCGACUGGAAUGAGGUUAUUAAGCAGGACAUGCUAUUAGGGAUUUAAGAAGAUUGUUCUUUAGAAUAUAGUCAUUUACCUGAAGAAAAACCAGCCCAAACGGCAAAACA